AGUUGCAGUGGUCAUGGUGUCUCUUCACAGCAAUGAAGUCAUAACUAAGACACCUGUGGAAGGCAUGCAGG